rnacentral:lncRNA from 1 species
AAACAACAAGAGGAGCUUCGGCGACGAGAGGAAGAGAUCAAAGCACUUCACCUUCGAUUUGCUGAAUAUGGAGAUAAACAACAAGAGGCGCUUCUGCGACGAGAGGAAGAGAUCCAAGGACUUCACCUUCGAUUUGCUGAAUAUGGAGAUAAACAACAAGAGGCGCUUCUGCGACGAGAGGAAGAGAUCCAAGGACUUCACCUUCGAUUUGCUGAAUAUGGAGAUAAACAACAAGAGGCGCUUCUGCGACGAGAGGAAGAGAUCGAAGCGCUUCACCUUCGAUUUGCUGAAUAUGGACAUAUACAUCAAGAGGCGCUUCUGCGACGAGAGGAAGAGAUCGAAGCGCUUCACCUUCGAUUUGCUGAAUAUGGACAUAAACAUCAAGAGGCGCUUCUGCGACGAGAGGAAGAGAUCGAAGGACUUCACCUUCAAUUUGCUGAAUAUGGACAUAAACAAGAAGAGGAGCGUCGGCGACGAGAGGAAGAGAUCAAAGCAUUUCACCUUCAAUUUGCUGAAUAUGGACAUAAACAACAAGAGGCGCUUCUGCGACGAGAGGAAGAGAUCGAAGCGCUUCACCUUCGAUUUGCUGAAUAUGGACAUAAACAAGAAGAGGAGCGUCGGCGACGAGAGGAAGAGAUCAAAGCAUUUCACCUUCAAUUUGCUGAAUAUGGACAUAAACAACAAGAGGCGCUUCUGCGACGAGAGGAAGAGAUCGAAGGACUUCACCUUCGAUUUGCUGAAUAUGGACAUAAACAUCAAGAGGCGCUUCUGCGACGAGAGGAAGAGAUCCAAGGACUUCACCUUCGAUUUGCUGAAUAUGGACAUAAACAAGAAGAGGAGCGUCGGCGACGAGAGGAAGAGAUCAAAGCACUUCACCUUCAAUUUGCUGAAUAUGGACAUAAACAACAAGAGGCGCUUCUGCGACGAGAGGAAGAGAUCGAAGGACUUCACCUUCGAUUUGCUGAAUAUGGACAUAAACAUCAAGAGGCGCUUCUGCGACGAGAGGAAGAGAUCCAAGGACUUCAC